CAGCCGCCACGGUAAUACAGAGGGUGCGAGCGUUAAUCGGAUUUACUGGGCGUAAAGCGUGCGUAGGCGGCUUCUUAAGUCGGAUGUGAAAUCCCUGAGCUUAACUUAGGAAUUGCAUUCGAUACUGGGAAGCUAGAGUAUGGGAGAGGAUGGUAGAAUUCCAGGUGUAGCGGUGAAAUGCGUAGAGAUCUGGAGGAAUACCGAUGGCGAAGGCAGCCAUCUGGCCUAAUACUGACGCUGAGGUACGAAAGCAUGGGGAGCAAACAGGAUUAGAUACCCGGGUAGUCCCUGUCUCUUAUAC
rnacentral:rRNA from 1 species